rnacentral:rRNA from 1 species
UACGUAGGGGCGAGCGUUGUCCGGAUUUAUGGGCGUAAAGAGCUCGUAGGCGGUUUGGCAAGUCGGGUGUGAAGUCAAGGGCUCAACCCUUGAAUGCCGGUUGAUACUGUCGGGCUAGAGUCCGGAAGAGGCGAGUGGAAUUCCCGGUGUAGCGGUGAAUGCGCAGAUAUCGGGAGGAACACCAAUGGCGAAGGCGAGCUCGCUGGGACGGUACGUGACGCUGAG